rnacentral:rRNA from 1 species
GACGAACGCUGGCGGCGUGCUUAACACAUGCAAGUCGAACGGCAAGGCCCUGCUUUUGUGGGGUGCUCGAGUGGCGAACGGGUGAGUAACACGUGAGUAACCUGCCCUUGACUUUGGGAUAACUUCAGGAAACUGGGGCUAAUACCGGAUAGGAGCCCCUGCUGCAUGGUGGGGGUUGGAAAGUUUCGGCGGUUGGGGAUGGACUCGCGGCUUAUCAGCUUGUUGGUGGGGUAGUGGCAUACCAAGGCCUUGACGGGUAGCCGGCCUGAGAGGGUGACCGGCCACAUUAGGACUGAGAUACGGCCCAGACUCGUACGGGAGGCAGCGGUGGAGAAUAUUGCACAAUGGACGGAAGCCUGGUGCAACAGCGCCGCGUGCGGGAUAGCGGCCUUCGGGUUGUAAACCGCUUUCGCCUGUGACGAAGCGUGAGUGACGGUAAUGGGUAAAGAAGCACCGGCUAACUACGUG